rnacentral:misc_RNA from 1 species
AACUUUUAGCAAUGGAUCUCUUGGCUCUCACAUCGAUGAAGAACGCAGCGAAAUGCGAUACGUAAUGUGAAUUGCAGAAUUCAGUGAAUCUUUGAAUCUUUGAACGCACCUUGCGCCCCUUGGUAUUCCAAGGGGUGCACCCGUUUGAGUGUCAUGAACACCCUCAACCUUCUUGGUUUAUCGACCAGGAAGGUUUGGACUUUGGAGGGCCUCGUUUGAAGCCAGCUCCUCCUAAAUGAAUUAGUGGGGUCCGCCGUGCCAAUCCUUGACGUGAUAAGUACGCUUCUAUGUCUUGGGGUUUCACACCAUUCUUGCUUCCAACUUCGAGUUGUGACUUGACCUUAUAAACCUUGACCUCAAAUUGGGUGAGACUACCCACUGAACUUAAGCAUAUCAAUAAGCGGAGGCU